rnacentral:tRNA from 5 species
GCCACCUUAGCUCAGUCGGUAGAGCACUUCACUCGUAAUGAAGGGGUCGCGAGUUCGAUUCUCGCAGGUGGCU